rnacentral:lncRNA from 1 species
CAUAAAGUCUCCACCUGUGUGCUCUGUGUCUAUAGAAAGAGCGUCCUCGCCCCUCGUCUUCUGGGGCUGGUGGUUGUGUGUCUCUUACCAAAAGUGUCCUGAGUCCCUGUCCUUGGCACAACAGGGAGCCUCCCUGAGACUCUGGGGUGUACCCAGCUACAAAGCCUGGCUCCCUGGAAGAAGAGGGGGGUCUGGGCCUUGCUCCCACCCUUGUGUUCUCAUCCGCACAGCCCACAGUACACUUUGCAGAGGAUACACUGCUGCCCGGUGAAGAUGGCGAGAGUGAGGAGGGGCAGCUUGAGGCCCCCUGGCCCCUGCCAGGUGGGAGGCAGCGGCUCAUUCGCAAGGACACACCCCACUACAAGAAGCACUUCAAGAUCUCUAAGCUUCCGCAGCCUGAGGCUGUCGUAGCCCUUCUGCAGGGGAUGCAGCCCGACGGGGAGGGCCCUGCAGGGCCUGGUACCUGGCACAAUGGCCCCCACAUGCCCUGGGCUCCUCGGGCCCAGGAGGAGGAGGAGGAGGAGGAGGAGGAGGAGGAGGAAGACAGGGCUGAGGAGGAAGGCGAGGCCACUACAGAAGAGGAGGACAAGGAGGAACCUGCGACUUCUGCACCCUCUGUCAAGGUGGGUCUCACGUGCACUCCUCUCUGGCCCUCCUAGGGUACCUGGGGAUGGGCAGCAUGGAGGCCAGCCCAGACUGCCCUGUGGCUGAGCCCCUCAGGUCAGGCCUCCACUCACUGGCCCCCUGGCUGCCUGGAGGAGGGGUGGGUGCAUCUCUGCUGUGACUGCUGCGUCUCUGUGUGCGCCUCACUACAAGUCCCCAGGGUCGGCCUUAGCUGAAGCCCCGACAUAUGAGUGUCUGCCGUGAUCAGCAGUGUCGUCCCCAUGUGCCCCUCUCAGUCCCUGGGCACCUCCGCUCUAGCACUGACCUUCAUCGAGGCUCACGGCGACCCUCUGGGCCAGUGUUUGCCCGUUAGACCUGCAGGCUAGCAGGACCCAGAAGCUGAGGGCAGGUGCACUGCAUACCCUCAGCCUUUUGGGCACAGGGGGCGCUGGCAGGAUGCUCUCCUCUCUGAGAGCUGCUGGCUCCCAGGAUCCUCCCUGCCUAGCCAUGACUUGGCCAGGAGGCCCUGCUGCUGGCAUGCAAUUUGUCCUGUGGGUCUGACAGUCACUCUUCUUCCUUGCAAGACAUCCCUGGCUCCCAGCAGAUUCUUGGGGAAUUGUCUUGUGCCUUCCUGAUCCUCAGUUUGUUCUCAAUGGCUCAUAACAGGUCCCUCCUGCUCAUGGGGACCCUUGAUGCCAAAGAAAGCCCCAGGCUGCCCAGAGGACCCACCUUCCCCACCCCCAUGAUGCCCCUACCCUGAGCAUGGGUUGAUGACAUGUGGCAGUGAGAAGCCUGGGGUCCUAUCAGGGAUGGCUAGGCCUGGGCUCAGCCCCACUCUGGAGCUUCCCCCCAGCCAGCCCAACCCUACCGUCUGUCAGGUCUGCAGCCUUGUGUCAUAGACAGAGGUAACCCUUGUCAGUGCCAGGAACAAGUUGGGAGGGACUGGCUCAGGCGACAGGAGCUUGGUGUGGUCUUCCUUCUGUCUUGUCUGCUCAUGGCCGGGCUGGUGAGGUGGUGGAGGUCCCUGGCGGUGGCUAACCUGCAUGCCUCGCUGGUCCUGUCCUAACAGGGCGUGUCGUUUGACCAGGCCAAUAACCUGCUGAUAGAGCCUGCUCGCAUUGAGGAGGAAGAGGUCUGUACUGCUCACUGCUGCUCUGUGCUCUGGGCCCGGGUCUGCUGCUGACCUUGCUUCCUGGGCUGCGGGUUCUUGCCUCUCCCCACCCCAUCACUUAAGCAUAGACCCUUUCCCAGAAGAGCUCCUGGCAGCUGCUACAGAAAUGGGGUCCUGGGGCUGCCCCGAUAGGGCCUGCUGGUCUUUUGGCAGAGGCAGCACAUCUCUGCCCCCACUGCGGCCUUUCUUGUAGAGGACAAACAGAGGGCCAACGCCAGGCCAUCCGUGUUCAUUCUCUGCAGCUGUGACUGCCCCACGCCUCAGAUACCUCCCAGCUCCUCUUCUGCCUCUGCUACCCUGGCAGGCGGAGGGACCUCAAAAAGAAACCAAAAGGAGCUGUCUGUGGCUGGCCUUGCUGUGCCGCAAGCACACAGACGGCUCAAGCCCUCCCAAACACAGUGUCUGCUCUGUUUCCAGCUGACCCUCACCAUCGUGCGCCAGACUGGGGGCCUUGGCAUCAGCAUCGCAGGGGGCAAGGGUUCCACCCCCUACAAGGGAGAUGACGAGGUGAGCAGCUGCCCCAGGCUAUAGCUGCCCUGGGCUCCCUCCUGCCCCAGACCUGCCUACACUCACUGGCCCAGAGGCUUCUGCUCCAAGGGGUGUUGGAUGCCUGCCGCCAGCCCCACAGUUCAGUCUUCUGUGUGCUUUGCCUGCACUUGGCCACCAGCCCCAGAGUGCACAGGCUGGGCCCAAGGCAGCAGGCAGACGGGGAUGUGCGCACGUGGGAGUUCACAGUCUAGAGCAGCUUGUUUCUCUUCUGCAAUCUGGUCUUCCCUCACACACUCUGGGCGUAGUGCCCGGGUCAAAGCCCUGACCCGCACUUUCUACUUCCUGGACGUAGGACCCACAGUGGUCUCUACUUAGGCCGUAUGUCUUCCUUCAUGUUCUUGGGGAUCUUUGCAGCAUCCCCAGAGAGCAGGCUGGGCUAGGGUCUGAAGGGACCAGGUCUCCCUCCAGUAAGUGCCUCCUGGCCUCCCAGAAAGGGCAAGACAGAAGGCUCUUAAGGAAUCCCCAACUCCUGUCCCCAGGGUGUCUUCAUUUCUCGGGUGUCUGAGGAGGGCCCUGCGGCCCGGGCUGGAGUCCGAGUGGGCGACAAACUCCUUGAGGUGAGUAGUGACUGCUGGCCAGUGACACCUGUGCUCUGGGGUGCCAUCUGGGCUGUUGGGGUAUUUAGUUGUGCCUAUCGGAUGGGGGCACUGUCUACCCUCUCCAGAAGCCCUGAGCCCCAGACCCCAGGACUCCCCCAAACCCUCUUUGGGCAGGAUGUGUAGUGCAGGCACCUAAAACCCCAGAAUCGGGAGGGCUGGGAAAGGGGUCAGACCCCAGCAGGUUGUGGGGCUCAGAUCCUUGUGAGAGACUUGGCACCCCCACCAGGGCACCUGGCUGUUGGAUAUAGGCUGUGCCCUUCCUGUGGGGACAAGGGUGAGGGCCCUGAGGGUAUCAGAAGAGGCUGGUGCUCCUCCUGCUCUCCUGCUCAGCUCUCUUCCCAGCCUCUCUUGGGGGCUCCUGUCCAAGGUGGCGUGUGAGUGUGGGGUCGGUGACCUGGUAAUCCUGGGCAUUCUCUGGGGCUGCUCAGACAGACCCAGAUGGUAGGUUUCCAGAAGCAAGGUGAGUGGUGUGGACUGUUCCAGGGGCAGAUGCCUGUGCUCUGGGAACCGCCAUAGGUGGGGACGAAGCCCAUCAGGAGCUCUGGGUACCCCCUCUCCCUGCCCUUCCCAUCCAUGGAGGGAAGCGUGGGCAGAGGCCACACGAGCCGUUGUCAUGGCGUCAGUGCUCAGGUGUCGGGGUGGCCGCAGCUGGGUGCUGACGUGUGCCGGGCCUCCCACACCUACAGGUGAACGGCGUGGCUUUGCAGGACGCUGAGCACCAUGAGGCUGUGGAGGCCCUCCGAGGGGCAGGCACAGCCGUGCAGAUGCGUGUGUGGCGGGAACGCAUGGUAGAACCUGAGAACGCAGUCACCAUCACACCCCUGCGGCCCGAGGACGACUACAGCCCCCGAGAGCGGCGGGGAGGCGGCCUGCGCCUGCCCCUGCUGCAGCCGGAGCUCCCUGGGCCUGUGCGCCAGUGCCAUGUGGCCUGCCUGGUGCGCAGCGAGAAGGGGCUGGGCUUCAGCAUUGCUGGGGGGAAAGGCUCCACACCCUACCGGGCCGGUGACGGGGUAAGGCAGGGUGGCUGGGGGUGCAGGGAGGGCUCUGGGGCAUCCGUGCCUGCUGGCCGUGCCUGCUGGCCUCACGGUGGCGGCUCCCCCAUCCCUGCAGGGCAUCUUCGUCUCCCGCAUUGCCGAGGGUGGUGCUGCCCAUCGAGCAGGCUCGCUGCAGGUUGGCGACCGUGUUCUCUCGGUGAGUGGGAUGGGCAGGGCCUGCUCAGUGCCUUGUCCUGCCCACCCUUUCUCACCUGAGUGUCCCUCACAGAUCAACGGGGUGGACGUGACUGAGGCCAGGCAUGACCAUGCUGUGUCACUGCUGACUGCUGCCUCCCCCACCAUCGCCCUGCUGCUGGAACGGGAGACAGGGGGACCCCCUCCCUCCAGCACCCCCCCACUUUCCUCCCCAACUCCCACUGUUGCUGCUGCCACCACCACGACCACUGCUGCCCCUGGAGAGCCUGGGCUGCCCAGGCUGGCCCCUGCUCUCCUGGCUGCUGCCCUAGAAGGACCGUACCCAGUGGAGGUGAGCCUCCAGCUGCCCCCUGCCAGGCAUCCGCUCAGCUCUGCUGUGGGUGUGCACUCUCCCAGAGCCCCUGCUCAUGGCCCUGCAGCCACUCUGGGCAGAAAGGAACUUGCACAUUUUUCCCCAUGUGCCUGAGAAACGGAGCCCUCCUCCACGAGGUGACUCCUUGCUGUGGUCCACCUGCCCCACACCACCUCCCUGCCAGGCCACCCAUGAGGACACAGGCUUUAGCUGCAUGGGUGUCUGGGCAGUGGGGUUUUGCAGAGGCAAUGGGAAUCCCUGCAGGUGCCUGGGGCUCCCCGAACUCUGUUCCCAACCACAGAGACCAGCAGUUCCCCUACUUCUUUCCACUCUUUCCCUUCUCUGAGGCCUGUCCCAUGUCCCCAGGAGGUUCGUCUGCCUAGGGCUGGGGGCCCCCUGGGGCUCAGCAUUGUUGGGGGCUCCGACCAUUCCAGCCACCCGUUUGGUGUCCAGGAGCCCGGCGUAUUCAUCUCCAAGGUAGAUAGAGGCCCUGGUGGGUGGAUCUGGACAGAGGGGACCUAUCCUGCCCACCCUGGGGGGCCCACCGGCUGCUGCCUUCCUCUUCAACAGGUGCUCCCACGCGGCCUGGCCGCUCGCUGUGGCCUGCGGGUGGGGGACCGCAUUCUGGCAGUAAAUGGGCAGGAUGUUCGGGAGGCCACUCACCAAGAGGCGGUCAGUGCCCUGCUCCGGCCCUGCCUAGAACUGUCCCUGGUGGUGCGGAGGGACCCUCCACCUCCAGGCAUGCGGGAGCUCUGCAUCCAGAAGGCCCCUGGGGAGAAGCUGGGGAUCAGCAUCCGUGGGGGUGCCAAGGGCCAUGCAGGGAACCCCUGCGACCCCACAGACGAGGGCAUCUUCAUUUCCAAGGUAAGGACCCUGCCCUUCUGCUUCUGUGGGCAGGUCCCAGUUCAGAGUCUCAGGUGGGUCUCUCCACAGGUAAGCCCUACGGGGGCAGCCGGGCGUGACGGCCGGCUGCACGUGGGGCUCCGGCUGCUGGAGGUGAACCAGCAGAGCCUGCUGGGCCUGACACACGCAGAGGCCGUGCAGCUGCUGCGCAGCGUGGGUGACAGCCUGACCGUGCUCGUCUGUGAGGGGUUUGACACCAGUGCCACCACAGCCUUGGAGGUUAGUGACCACUCUGGGGACCAGGUGCUGUCUCAGUACUGUCCCAAAGGGUUGUAAUGAGCUGACCCUUGUGUGGGCUGGGCAGCAGAGCCUUCCACAGUCUGAGCCAGCUGUAGGUGGGAGCUGUGGGCAUACCCCAUGCCAGACUGCUUUCUCUCCAGAGCCCUGGCCACUGUGCCUUCUGGAGACUCCUGCCUGGGCAGGAUGAAGCACUAAAAGCUUGUGAUGUAUCUGGGCAGUGGCAGGAUCUGGUUCUUUGAGAAGAGGUCCAGCCAUAGGCCUUGGGCAGGGAGCACCUGAGUGGGCGUGGUAGGUGGCUGACAGGGAGCUGUGACCUCCUGUUCUCCCUGGCCCAGCCUGACCCCAGGGUCUCUGGUGGCCUGUCAUCAGAGUUCACCCCCCACCAUCUUAUCUGACUGCUCUGUGCCUCAGAGCAAGAGCUCAGACUGGGGCAGAGACGCAGAUGGGGCGUCAGCCACCUCCCAACACUUGCGGAGAGGAGGGACCAGGGCUAGGCCCAGGAACCUUGCGUCCUGGACAGGCUGUCUUCAUCCAGUGGUUUCAGCCCUCUUGUCUCCCACCAGCUGUCAGUGAGGCCCCUCAGCACCAUUGCCUGAAGGCCCAAACAGGCCUCCAGAAGAUUUUUACCUGCAGUAACCACCAGCUUUGCCCAAAGAGCACCCUUGCUGGUCACAGUGGUCUGUGGGACACGGUGCCGUGUCACCACUCUGCCUGGCUUCCACUUCUUGCCCUGGUUUCUGGGAUAGUCAGCCACCCUGGGUUGGCUCUUACAGUGGAUCUUUGGGAUGGUGACUUCCUGCCAGAUGCCAGCUAAAAAGACACCACUGGCUGAGAGCCACAGACAGCACCUUCUCGCAGGCCCCUCGAGGGCCUGCCCUGUGGGAAACCAUGUGUCUUCAUCCCAGUCGCCACAGCGGGACUUGAGCUGGCCAUCCUCCCCCUUUGCUGUCCACGAGGGAGCGCUGGUAGAUUGGGGAAUGAGUUUCUCUAUGCCUGAGUGGUCUGGUUCCAAAAGGCGUUUUGCCUUUUCUUCACUGAUCUUAAAGUGUACAUUUAACGGAUGUUGUCCAAGACAUUUAUUUAUUUCAGACUUAGAGAAAGGACACCGGGGGGAAGGGUGCGAACUUCCACCAGAGUAGGACUGGCUUGCCCAGGUGACGCCAGGCCUGUGUUCCCUCACCUGGCGUCGGCUCCUCUGGAGGGUCACAGCUAAAGUCUGGGCAGGUGUCCUCCACAGCUGAGGGCAGAGGGCCCUGAGCAGGGCCAAGAGCCCCUGGACCUCUGCCCGUGGGAGCUGAGUGCUUUCCCUGGGAGUGUCGGGACUCCUCGGGACCUGAGGCUGCUGUCACCCGGCAGGUGCCCACCCACCGUCCUUGGGCACAGGUGACCCACGUGUGCUCUGUAGCACAUAGCUGUGUUAUCUUUGUUUCCUUUUUAAAAUUGUGUAUUUUAGUCACAAAAAAACUAUGAUUUUUAUCAAGUUGUCUGGAAAACUCUGCUUUUGCAGAUCAUGGAGACGUGGCCCUGUUUUCUGCCAGCACCUCUGUGCUUUUCUUAAACAUGCAGCCUGUGUCCAUCUGGAGUUGUUGUUCAAGGGGAGGGCCGUGUGCCCUGACUGGCCCUGACCUUCGUCUCCUGCUGACCUGGGGGAGAUGCGACUGCGCUGUGUGCUCAGCCCCAGGUGUUCCGAGGCUUGACUCGGGGCUAGGUCCCCGUGCCAGCUGCAUACUGCCAUUUUACAUUACAGCGUGUCCCAAAACCUCAUCACCCACGUCACUCGCUCUUUUGUCUCCUUGAGAAGUGCUGUGUGUUGUGUUUUGCUUCUGAGUGAAUCUGCCAGGCUCCAUAACAGGAAUUGGUUGGGGCCCUGGUAUUUGGGGCGAGUUAUUCUCAAGCAUAUUCCUAGGUUGCUCUUGUUCUUGGUUCCCGUAAACCCUGGCCAGCUGCUGCUGUGCUUCCAUGGCAGAAGCCCUGUGGUCUACAGCAGUGACACGGGGCCUCCUUCCCGGUGCCUGGCUGAUGGACUGUUUCAUUCCCUAUGCAGCGUUUGCUGUAGUUUCUUUGUGGUCCUUGCUGUUUGUAACGGACAAGUUGAGUCUUCUGAAGUGGUCUUCACAUUGGUGGGCUCAGUUGGCUGGUUGGCCCACCGAGGUGCCAGCCCCAUGCGUGGCACUCAAGAGAAAGAGGAGCCCACAUUGAAACCCAGGACUCCACAGCAGCGUCUGGAUUCCUGGCUUCUCACGAAUCUCAAAGGACCCUGCACAGCUGGCCCUUGUCUACCAGGACUCUCUGACACCCCCCCCCCGGAAUGGGACAGGUAUUUGUCCUCACCCUCACAAUUUUUCCUAAACUGGGCCCACUUGAGUCAUCUUGGCCUCACACCUGUGGCAUCAGUUUGCCUGCCACAUGCCCUGCCAGCUGGUGAGUGGCAUAUUCCCGCCUCCCCCGUGUUCUGAACAGUGGCCGAGCGUGUGCUAGAACUUGCCUGGCCUGUGAUCUAGGGCUGAUGCAAUUUGAGGGCUCUUGCACAGUUUGGAUAAAUGCAGGGUCUUGCUAGCCGCCAGGCCUUGGGCAGGUACUGGGCUUCUACUCCUGGUCUCUGUCUGUAGAGGGGCAGUGGUAGGGCCUGCCUCAAGAGGGACAGAUAGCCCAGCAGCUCAGCAAGCACCCACCUGACCACCAUCGUGCCAGACCCCUGAGCAGGCUGCUCCAUGUGGACUUGGAUACUUCUCCCUUGGCUUCCUGUGCGUCAGGUGCAGAGGACUCGCUGCCGCCUUUCUCUUCCUCUGGAGUUAUCUGCAGACCUACGGUCUACCUUACAUUCAGCCACUGGCCAAAGUCUCCCACACCGACGGUCCCUGGCCAUGCAGUCUGACAUAACGAUCUUUCAGCUUUCCGGUGUUGCAGAGGCAAAGGGCAUGUGGUCACAACUACAGUUUGAAUUUGGAUUUGGACUUUCUGGGCUGGAGGUUCUCUGUGUGUGUGAAUCUCCUGUUUCUCAUCAGGCUUCCCCGCCAGCUUGAGCCCCCGCUGAUGGUGCCUGAGCGAGGGCUGUCGUGGCUGCUGAUCCCUCGGAGGACAUACUGUCCCUUGCCAUGUUUGUGUUACAUACUUGUCCAUCAGUGCAUGGUUCCGCUUAUUUCAUGAGUGAUCGUUGUCACAGUUUAUGUUGGUGCUCAGGUUGUCUCAGCCUUGGCUGGGAAGGCACUUGAGGCAAGGCUGGGUCCUUUGGACGUCACCUGCCCUCUCCAGCACUUUCUUCUUCACUCCAGGUGUCUUAGCUGGUCUCCCUCUUUCCUGCCCAGCCCUGGGGUAGCUGUUUCUCGCAAGCACUGGUUCCUUCAGGGAAGGUGAUGUUGAGAAGCCAGGGUGUGACCUCUGAGUGGUGCUUGGCUUUCGGGGCGUGUGUUCUUUGUGUGUCCAGUGGCCAGCAGUUGCUGCCUUCCAUUAUUUCUGGACCUGCAGGCUGCUGAGCUCCCACCUUUGCAGGCAGCACCACAGGUCAGCCCUUCCAUAUUUGAGCAGCCUUCUCGGAUGUGGGAUUCUCUCUCAGUCCUUCUGUAUGUGAUGGUCCUUCCCACCCCACAGGGCCUGCUGCCUCUCUUGGGCCAGCCCUCCAAAAGGUUGAGGAGCAGGGUUCUGCUGCUUGACCGCCAGCGUUGUCCAGAUCCGAGCCACGGAGCGAGCCACGGAGCCCUGUACUGGUGUUCUGUCCAGAGCUCAUGCUCCUGGUGGUCUUGGUGGUCUUGUUUUUAGAAACAACACAGCUGAGUUUGUGUUUCAGCCUACAGGGAGUGUCCCUCCAUGGUGGGGACCUGCCCGUGGUCAGGGUGGUGGUUGGUGCCUUCUUUUGCACCGUGCUGCCAGCCCGCUCCUCCCUGUUCUGCUGUCGGUGGCAGAGCCACAUGGUUCCUUUGGUGCCUUGUGGAGUGGAAGUGAGCUCUUGCUCCUGUGUGUCCGUUGCCUGUUCAUCCUUGACCCAAGCUCACUUGGGAGGGCCUCCCCUGCCCUUGCCCUGCUCCUGGGCUCAUGCACCCAGCUUCCUGCAGGCCCCUCUCCUUCAGACUGCAGUCUCUGGGUCCUGACUGAUCUCCCUCUGAGGUCUGGAACUAGUUGGGUCUUUCCUUGGCACCCUUAUUCAGCUCUCAGUGCACGUUCUAGAUGCAGCCUGUCCUCCGGCAGCAUUGGUGUCCCUUGGGGAGCAUCACCCACAAACGGCUUCUUUCCCUCCAUCUUGGUGACUUCUGGUUCUCUGUUCCUGGGGCGACUACAGAGGCCACCUCAGCUGUGGUCAGCCGAGCUCGUGGGAUGUCAGCUUCUGUGUUCACUGCUUGUCCCAGGCUUCAGUCUGCCCUGGAGAUGGGACCUCACUGGCAGGGAACCCCACCCUCAGCCACUCCUCUCCUCUCAGGUGUCCCCAGGUGUCAUUGCCAACCCCUUUGCAGCAGGCAUCAGCCACCGGAACAGCCUGGAGAGCAUCUCGUCCAUCGACCGGGAGCUGAGCCCUGAGGGCCCAAGCAAGGUCGGAACUCCUGUGGCUGGCAGCCAGGGCUGGGGACCUGAACUGCUGAUGCCUGACUUGUCUGCUCCCUCACAGGAGAAGGAACUGCCCAGUCAGACCCCACACUGGGGGCCUGAGGCUGUGGAGGCCACGGUGAGUCCCAUGGGGCCUGGCUCUGUGCUCUGGGCUGCAUCCUCCCCUGAAGCAGUGCAGUCCAUGCCCAGGCACACAGCCCAGCUAGCAGUGUCACUCUGCUCCCCAGGGCCAGAGGCUGGAGCCCCUGAAGCUGGACUACCGUGUCCUGGCUGCUCUGCCCGGCACUGGCAGUGUGCAGAGGGUCAGUGUCCCACGUGUGCUGAGUUGCACCCUCCUGACGCCUUGUCCAUCUGCCCACCAGCCUGUCAGCUCCCUCUUCACCUGGCCAGCCACUGCCAGGGGCUGAGUGCCGAGGCCACCAUGGAGGAGCCUCUG